GAUGAACGCUGGCGGCGUGCCUAAUACAUGCAAGUCGAGCGAAUGGAUUAAGAGCUUGCUCUUAUGAAGUUAGCGGCGGACGGGUGAGUAACACGUGGGUAACCUGCCCAUAAGACUGGGAUAACUCCGGGAAACCGGGGCUAAUACCGGAUAACACUUUGAACCGCAUGGUUCGAAAUUGAAAGGCGGCUUCGGCUGUCACUUAUGGAUGGACCCGCGUCGCAUUAGCUAGUUGGUGAGGUAACGGCUCACCAAGGCAACGAUGCGUAGCCGACCUGAGAGGGUGAUCGGCCACACUGGGACUGAGACACGGCCCAGACUCCUACGGGAGGCAGCAGUAGGGAAUCUUCCGCAAUGGACGAAAGUCUGACGGAGCAACGCCGCGUGAGUGACGAAGGCUUUCGGGUCGUAAAACUCUGUUGUUAGGGAAGAACAAGUGCUAGUUGAAUAAGCUGACACCUUGACGGUACCUAACCAGAAAGCCACGGCUAACUACGUGCCAGCCGCCGCGGUAA
rnacentral:rRNA from 1 species